UAUAUACUCCCUCCGUCCCAAAAUUCUUGUCUUAGAUUUGUCUAAAUACGGAUGUAUCAAGUCACGUUUUAGUAUUAGGUACAUCCGUAUCUAGACAAAUCUAAGACAAGAAUUUUGGGACGGAGGGAGUACAUU
rnacentral:pre_miRNA from 1 species